rnacentral:tRNA from 1 species
AAAUAAGAAGCGAUAAAUUGCAUUCAGUUUCGACCUGACCCUAGGUGAUACCACCCUUAUUUU